GAUGAACGCUGGCGGCGUGCCUAAUACAUGCCAGUCGAGCGAACAGACGAGGAGCUUGCUCCUCUGACGUUAGCGGUGGACGGGUGAGUAACACGUGGAUAACCUACCUAUAAGACUGGGAUAACUUCGGGAAACCGGAGCUAAUACCGGAUAAUAUAUUGAACCGCAUGGUUCAAUAGUGAAAGACGGUUUUGCUGUCACUUAUAGAUGGAUCCGCGCCGCAUUAGCUAGUUGGUAAGGUAACGGCUUACCAAGGCAACGAUGCGUAGCCGACCUGAGAGGGUGAUCGGCCACACUGGAACUGAGACACGGUCCAGACUCCUACGGGAGGCAGCAGUAGGGAAUCUUCCGCAAUGGGCGAAAGCCUGACGGAGCAACGCCGCGUGAGUGAUGAAGGUCUUCGGAUCGUAAAACUCUGUUAUUAGGGAAGAACAAAUGUGUAAGUAACUAUGCACGUCUUGACGGUACCUAAUCAGAAAGCCACGGCUAACUACGUG
rnacentral:rRNA from 1 species